UUUUUUUUGGCCCAGGCAUAUUGCAUUGGAGUGCACCACUCAAUUGCGGUGUUGGAAUUGUCGAGAACCUGGGCAUGUUGCUAGUAAUUGUCCCAAUGAGGGCAUUUGUCAUUCAUGUGGCAAGUCUGGACAUCGUGCCAGAGAUUGCCCAAAUCCUGAGAUGUCACCUGGAGACUUGAGGCUAUGCAACAAUUGCUAUAAGCCAGGGCAUAUUGCUGCUGAGUGUACAAAUGAUAAAGCAUGUAAGAACUGCAGGAAAACUGGCCACGUAGCACGCGAUUGUCAGAAUGAACCUGUUUGCAACUUGUGUAACAUAGCUGGGCAUGUGGCAAGGCAGUGCCCAAAGGGUGAUAAUGUUGCAGAGAGAGGUGUUUGGGGUCGGAGCAGUGGAUACCGGGAUGUGAUCUGCCGUACCUGCAACCAGGUGGGCCACAUGAGCAGGGAUUGUAUGGGUCCCAAUCCCAUGAUCAUCUGUCACAACUGUGGUGGCAGGGGCCACAGGGCAUUUGAGUGCCCAUCAGGAAGAUUGGCAGACCGUGGAUUCCGGAGGUACUAAUAUAAGUCGAGUGUUUGGUUUUGCUAGUAAUAUGGCUUUGAUACCAAUGAAAGUCUUCCUAUUUGUUGUUUGCAGCCUAUAAUUUGGGCAAUUGGACUGUUGCUUUUGCACCAAAUUGUUUUACUAUGAGGGAUCCUUUUCUGAGAUCCCACUGUUUCUUUUAUGUUUAGACUUUGUAGACGUGACGCGUUAUAUACCAUUGAACUGAAGUUUCGCUAUUGCUGGUGUUGAUUUGAUUUGAAGUUCAAUGUUCAAGUGUCUGUGCACUGGCUCUUUCUACCAACGCCUUGAGCUGAUAUGGAAUAAAUGGGUUCUUGGUUGCUCGACCGUCUGGAUUUCUCCAGACGAAGAUUCUCAAACUGAAGGUAUUGCUAUUGGGAGAUACUGUUAUUGUGACACGGUUUGGAAUUGUCAAUUUUCUGGCGAAUCGUGUAAAAUUUGUGGAUAUUUAUUUAUGGGUGGUUUAAUUUUGCUUGGGUUUAACUCGAAUUUUAGGAUUUACCUCGAGAGAUCUCCUUGGACGAAACUGAAUUUAGGGCAAAUAGUGGUAUAUAGGGA
rnacentral:misc_RNA from 1 species